CUAAAUUUAAGUGUUACUUUAAAUUCUGGUGAUAUGGUUACUCACCUUUUAUAUUCAGUUAGGAGGUGUUGAUUUUAGUGUUAUUUCUCCUCAGUACACCAUUUCUAAUAAUGGCUAAUACACCACCAAACAAAAACUGCUGAGAAUGUAAGGGAAAGCUAAAAUUUCCACUAGAUGGAGCAAUAUUUAGUUAUCCAAAACUCAUCCCUCCUUUCAUUCAAGUCUUUACAUUAUGUGUACAGUUCAAGUAAGUUUAUAGUGGAAUUUCAUUCUCAAAUACAUUCCCUAAACCAUCACCAGAUCUAAGCAUUCUACUUAACCAGACCCUCCCUGUGCUUCUCAAAUCUUUUAGCUCCCAUUUUCAGUCUUUGUAUGGCUUGCCCUACACCUGUAAAAUCUUCCCUGUCAUCCAUGAUUUUCCUGUUCAUUCAUCUUGACAACCUGUUAUCGCCAUCCUCAAAUACUUCGCUUUCAUUUUAAUUGUAAUUUAAUUAGAAUAUACUGACCUCCUCACAGAAAGCUGUUCUCCUUUGAUUAGUAACGCUUAAAAUACUAUUUAAAGUGGUCUUAGCCUGCACUUGCAUUUUCCUGAACUGUCUCAAAACAGCAUAAAUAUAAGAAUCCAUCAAAGUCAAGUACUGUAGGUAGAGAUUAGGAAGGGGAAGCAGCCGAUGACAGAUAGGUCUGACAUCAGUGAGGAAGCUGGAAGAGCACCCAGACCCAUCAGGGAAGCAACCAUUAUACUACGGUUAUAAUUGAGAAAAUGAAACAUUGUAGUCAGGACCUUGAUUAAAUAAAUUCAGCCUGCAAAAUGUUGAUCAAAGUUAACCUAUAACUCUGAUUAGGAUUUCAAUAGAAAAAAAUGUCAAAUUAAUUAGAAUCACCAUAUUUUAUAGCAGAUUUAGAAUCUCUAUUGGAAUUCGUGUACCCUGAUUAUUACCGUCAAGCGGCCAAUUAAGUUUUAGAUAAUAUUCCUUUAACACCCGAUUGACUGAUGUCCCCCUCAGACACCCAUAUUAGUAUAAUGGUUUCAUCCCUCUUUUUCAUUUUUUAUUGACACUGAUGGUUAUAGAGACUUCCUUAUUGGAAUUUUCAUCUAUAUAAUAUGUAGACUUUGGGGACAGAACAGCAAAGGAUACAGUAUUAGAUUAUUCUGAUGAUAAAACCUAAUGUAUUCCUUGGAAUUUUAUAUAAAUCUUUUUGUUUCGGGGACAUUUUUUGUUUUCUUUUCCCCUAAAAUGAUGCAGGGUAGUGGAGGACUUGAUAUUUCUGAACACCUCUGACAUGAUUUACUUCUAAAUCCCUACCUCUCAUUUGAUAAGGUCAUUUAGGAAGUUGACAAUAAAUGACUAUGACCCUGUAGACGAAACAGAUUAGUGGCAUACACCGGCAUUUGGAGAGCCAGCCAGAAACUAAGUAUUUUGAUUCUGAUGCUACUACCCAAGAUGGAAUUUUACUCUCCAAUUGUGCUGGGGUUUUUUUAAUCAAAUCAUUAUUUUCUCAUGGGUUACUUUAAAAUAUCUUCCCCAUAAUUUCCAGGCAAUUGUAAAAAUAAACCUCACUUAAGGUACAUUGAAUACUACAUAAUAACUAUAUGUGUGGGGAAGGACCCGAAUGUGGUUUUCUGGAUAGGAGCAAACAGGGGCUUUUCAGUACAAAGGAGGCCACGUUGUCAGUGUUCCAAAGCUUUUGCUCUCUUGAUUAUUCUGGCCCCAUUCCAUUCAGCCCCUCCACUAAUCAAUCACUAGAUCCUGUUCCAAGGAGCAGUGGGAGGGGCUUUAGGGAGGAAAACCUGAUUAAUCUGUCUCUGCUUAGUACUGGUUACAGUUGUGGCCGGAGAAGCAUUCAUAAUCAUAAUCCGAAUUAUAUUUUUGUUAUUGCCUUGUGGAUUUUAAUUAUCCAUCUUGUCUAAACUUGUUCUCUGUCAUCCUGGAUAACAAAGUGUUUGUGGGAGCAGAGCUUCACACACACCAGGGGAUGUAAUAAAUGUUUGCACUUGGCUCAGUAUAUUAUGAUGUGGCACAGUAAAUAAAGUUUGUGUACAAAAUACUAGCUUAUUUCUAUGGGAGCCCUUAUGUUCAGGAUAUAUAAAAUGUAUCUAAUUAAAUCAUUAUGAAUCUAUUUUGUGCUCUAGAAAUGUUCUUUGGGGGAAAUAUGGGGAAAAAUGUGUCAGUGGAACUAAGAAAAUACUACGUAUCAAACCCAGAUUAAAUUUUCUAAGUCUGAAUUUAUUUUGUUAAAAUUCGUAUUUCCAGACUGUACAUUGCGUGAAUCUUUUUCUUAAAUAGAACAUGACUUUGGGUUGUUUAAUACAUAAUUUUAAGAGCA
ensembl:lncRNA